CAGCAGCCGCGGGAAUACGUAGGGUGCAAGCGUUAAUCGGAAUUACUGGGCGUAAAGCGUGCGCAGGCGGUUAUAUAAGUCAGAUGUGAAAUCCCCGGGCUCAACCUGGGAACUGCAUUUGAGACUGUAUGGCUAGAGUGUGUCAGAGGGGGGUAGAAUUCCACGUGUAGCAGUGAAAUGCGUAGAUAUGUGGAGGAAUACCGAUGGCGAAGGCAGCCCCCUGGGAUAACACUGACGCUCAUGCACGAAAGCGUGGGGAGCAAACAGGAUUAGAUACCCCAGUAGUCCCUGUCUUUAUACA
rnacentral:rRNA from 1 species